CGCGGUAAUACGGAGGAUCCGAGCGUUAUCCGGAUUUAUUGGGUUUAAAGGGUGCGUAGGUGGUUUGAUAAGUCAGCGGUGAAAGUUUGCAGCUUAACUGUAAAAAUGCCGUUGAAACUGUCGGACUUGAGUGUAAAUGAGGUAGGCGGAAUGCGUGGUGUAGCGGUGAAAUGCAUAGAUAUCACGCAGAACUCCGAUUGCGAAGGCAGCUUACUAAGCUACAACUGACACUGAAGCACGAAAGCGUGGGGAUCAAACAGGAUUAGAUACCCUGGUAGUCCACGCAGUAAACGAUGAUUACUAGCUGUUUGCGAUACACAGUAAGCGGCACAGCGAAAGCGUUAAGUAAUCCACCUGGGGAGUACGCCGGCAACGGUGAAACUCAAAGGAAUUGACGGGGGCCCGCACAGGCGGAGGAACAUGUGGUUUAAUUCGAUGAUACGCGAGGAACCUUACCCGGGUUUGAACGUAGGGAGACAGGGGUGGAAACAUUCUAUUCAGCAAUGACUGCCUACGAGGUGCUGCAUGGUUGUCGUCAGCUCGUGCCGUGAGGUGUCGGCUUAAGUGCCAUAACGAGCGCAACCCUUAUUUCCAGUUACUAACAGGUCAAGCUGAGGACUCUGGAGAGACUGCCAGCGUAAGCUGUGAGGAAGGUGGGGAUGACGUCAAAUCAGCACGGCCCUUACAUCCGGGGCGACACACGUGUUACAAUGGUAAGGACAAAGGGCAGCUACCGGGCGACCGGAUGCGAAUCUCUAAACCUUAUCUCAGUCCGGAUCGGAGUCUGCAACUCGACUCCGUGAAGCUGGAUUCGCUAGUAAUCGGGCAUCAGCCAUGGCGCAGUGAAUACGUUCCCGGGCCUUGUACACACCGCCCGU
rnacentral:rRNA from 1 species